UACGAAGGGGGCUAGCGUUGCUCGGAAUCACUGGGCGUAAAGCGCACGUAGGCGGAUCUUUAAGUCAGGGGUGGAAUCCCGAGGCUCAACCUCGGAACUGCCCUUGAUACUGGGGAUCUCGAGUCCGGAAGAGGUUGGUGGAACUCCGAGUGUAGAGGUGAAAUUCGUAGAUAUUCGGAAGAACACCAGUGGCGAAGGCGGCCAACUGGUCCGGCACUGACGCUGAGGUGCGAAAGCGUGGGGAGCAAACAGG
rnacentral:rRNA from 1 species